UACCCAGGAGGCUGGGCACACUUGGUCACACUCAGCCCGCACUGCCUGUAGACACAACUAUUCCACCAUUCUGUCUAUAGGAAGUCUCCCACCCCUCUCCAGCAAUUGUCCAAGGUAAAGACAGAGAUUUGUGGGUGACCUUGUAUUUGAAAAUACAAUAGGGUUUGGGAUCAGAAGAGUAGAGUUUAAAUAAUUUUUAUGCUGUUUACUGGCAGUGUGCCCUGUGCAAGUUCUUAAACUUCACUGUCCCUUGGAACCCUCAUUUUUCAAAUAAGGGUAUUAACAUCUCAUAUGGCUGGAAAGCCUAACUGAGCUGGUAGAGAGAAGCACCCAGAACAGAAACAACAAAGUUGUCACUCAAAUGUUUCUUUUCUUCCUUAUCCAGAUUCUCUGGAUACACCUCCUCUCACCCUCCAUUUAACUCUGGAAAUACAGGAUAUGGGACACAGCUGCUCCUGGUUCUCAGGCCUUUAGAUUCUGGAUUGGAACUAUACCACCAGCCCGCUUUCCUGGGCCUCCAGCUUGCGGAUGGCAGAUUGUGGGACUUCUCAGUCUCCAUAACCAUGUGAGCCAAUCCCUGAUAAUAGAACUCCUUUUAUAUAUACCUAUAAAUAGUCUAUUGUUUGUUUCUUUGGCGAA